rnacentral:lncRNA from 1 species
GACGCGUGUCGGUCCAAAAGACAGAACGGCGCAUUUAAUUAGGGCUAGCGCUUCGGACGCCGAAGCGCCCCAUCGGAUCGUGCGGCCCCAUCAUGAGCCCACGACGCGAGGACGCUUCGCAAAAAGCGUCCCAAUAAUGAGACUUUUCGGGAAGGAAGAGACGCCGCCUAUUAAAGACACCUCGAAGCGCUUGAUAAUUCAAAAUGCGCAAUAAAUUAGGAUUUUCGGAAUCCGUAAUGACCCAACUGGAGCUACUUCCCACGUUCUAGCUGGUAGCCAACUAGAACUCGGAAGUCGGGGGGUAGUGUUGGGGGAAAAAUCCCAAGUCAUACCGUCACGGAGGCGCUCGGCCAACGGGCGCCGGCCAGAAAGGCGCUCGGCCAAAGAGUGCCAACCGAAAAGGCGCUCGACCGAAGAGUGCCGACCAGCAGGGUGCUCGGCUAGAGAGCACCGACCGGAGAGAGCGCCAAGAAGAGG